CACGUAGGGUGCGAGCGUUGUCCGGAAUUAUUGGGCGUAAAGAGCUCGUAGGCGGUGUGUCACGUCGGCCGUGAAAACCUGCAGCUUAACUGUGGGCGUGCGGUCGAUACGGGCAUCACUGGAGUUCGGCAGGGGAGACUGGAAUUCCUGGUGUAGCGGUGAAAUGCGCAGAUAUCAGGAGGAACACCGGUGGCGAAGGCGGGUCUCUGGGCAUCUCCUGACGCUGAGGCGCGAAAGCGUGGGGAGCAAACGGG
rnacentral:rRNA from 1 species